rnacentral:rRNA from 1 species
UACGGGGGGAGCAAGCGUUGUUCGGAUUUACUGGGCGUAAAGGGCGCGUAGGCGGCCACCGCAAGUCAGUUGUGAAAGCUCUGGGCUUAACCCAGAAAGGUCAACUGAUACUGCGGGGCUAGAGUGCAGAAGGGGCAACUGGAAUUCUCGGUGUAGCGGUGAAAUGCGUAGAUAUCGAGAGGAACACCUGCGGCGAAGGCGGGUUGCUGGGCUGACACUGACGCUGAAGUGCGAAAGCUAGGGGGAGCGAACGGG